rnacentral:rRNA from 1 species
GGGGAAUAUUGGACAAUGGGGGCAACCCUGAUCCAGCAAUGCCGCGUGUGUGAAGAAGGUCUUCGGAUUGUAAAGCACUUUCGACGGGGACGAUGAUGACGGUACCCGUAGAAGAAGCCCCGGCUAACUUCGUGCCAGCAGCCGCGGUAAUACGAAGGGGGCUAGCGUUGCUCGGAAUGACUGGGCGUAAAGGGCGUGUAGGCGGUUUACACAGUCAGAUGUGAAAUCCCCGGGCUUAACCUGGGAGCUGCAUUUGAUACGUGUAGACUAGAGUGUGAGAGAGGGUUGUGGAAUUCCCAGUGUAGAGGUGAAAUUCGUAGAUAUUGGGAAGAACACCGGUGGCGAAGGCGGCAACCUGGCUCAUGACUGACGCUGAGGCGCGAAAGCGUGGGGAGCAAACAGGAUUAGAUACCCUGGUAGUCCACGCUGUAAACGAUGUGUGCUAGAUGUUGGGUAACUUUGUUAUUCAGUGUCGC